rnacentral:rRNA from 1 species
UACGUAGGGUGCGAGCGUUAAUCGGAAUUACUGGGCGUAAAGGGAGCGCAGGCGGAUAUAUAAGUUAGAUGUGAAAUCCCCGAGCUUAACUUGGGAACUGCAUUUAAGACUGUAUGUCUAGAGUUUAUUAGAGGGGGGUAGAAUUCCAAGUGUAGCGGUGAAAUGCGUAGAGAUUUGGAGGAAUACCAGUGGCGAAGGCGGCCUCCUGGGAUAGAACUGACGCUCAUGCUCGAAAGCGUGGGUAGCAAACAGG